GAUAGUACAGGGUCCGACACGCAGACCAUAGUACUAAAAGACGUAUCCCAAAGUAUCUAAUACGCAGAGGAGGGGGGAGUACUGGUGAUACAGUAUCCCGAACACGGUCACAACCUACCAGCAACUAGAAGUCCGGAUAGCCUAAGAUGAGUUGAGGUAUCUAUUCUAGGGUUGGGGAGGUCCCAAGUCGAAUCCUAGGAAGAUCGACUUUCCUGAGGAUCGACUUCCCUGGGAUCGACUUUUGAGUAAAGUCGAUCACCAGGAAAAGUCGACCCCCAGAAAGUCGAUCUCUGGAAAGUCGACCCCUGGACCCAAUCUGAUCAGUUGGGCAGUUAGGCGGUUACUGCCCAAAUGACCAUAUUGCCCCCAUAAGAACUCCUAUAAAUAGAGGGCACCCCCCACUCAUUAAAGGCAAGUCAUUUGGAGAAGAAGAAUUCCUAGCGAAGCAGAGCUCUGCACACUUGAGUUCCGGUCCGGUUUCCCGCGGAGUUCCCCGCUUGGCGCUUGCUUGCGUGUCUUGGAGUACUGGUCGGGUUUCACCCCCAUCACAAUGAACUAGAAUUCCCAUUUUUAGCGAAAGAAAACAAGGAAAUAAACAAGAAAAAAGAAAUGGCAAAGUCAACAACAUGUUCCAUUAUAUUACCCACAAUGACAAUAGGAAAAGAAAUAACCCAAGGGAACAACAAUUUAAUACAACAAGGAAAUGGAUCAGAGAGUAGAAUAAACAGUAAUUCUAGAACAACCACUAAAAUUCAAACAACAAGAGAAACACCAAUAUAGUGCAAUGGUUCUGGAAACUCAGUGAAUAUAGAAGAUCUCUCUUCUCAACUUCAGAACUUAAGCUUUAAUGGUAGUCAACCUGAGGUGACUAAAACUCAAAGGUAUCCUACUAGAGUAAAACAACCUUUUGUGUUACUCAAAGACUAUGAAUGCUCCUAUUCAGAACUAGACAGUAAUGAACUAACUUCAUUUAGUCAGGCAAACAAAGAUGAAAAAUGGAGGGAAGCAAUGGUAGAAGAGAUGAAUGCUCUCAAAAUAAAUGAUACAUGGAGUUUAGUUCCUCAAACGAAUGAUAUGAACAUUGUGGGAUGCAAAUGAGUGUUCAAAAUAAAAAAAGAAGGCAGAUGGAACCCUAGAAAGAUAUAAGGCAAGGUUAGUUGCUAAAGGAUAUAACCAGGAAGAAGGGGUGGAUUAUACCUCAACUUAUAGACCAGUGGUUAGAAUGAACACAGUCAGGGCAAUUGUGUCAUUAGCCACUUCACACAAGUGGCAAUUAAGACAACUUGACAUUAAAAAUGCCUUUCUAAAUGGCUAUCUAAAUGAGACAGUCUAUAUGAAGCAACCAACUAGAUUUAUAGAUAAGAAAUCACCUAAACAUGUGUGUCUUCUUCAUAAGGCCUUGUAUGGACUUAAACAAGCUCCUAUAGCUUGGUACUCCAGAUUAUAAAAUUUUCUAACAGAGAAUGAUUUUUCCAACAGCAAAACAGAUACAUCUUUAUUUUUUUAAAUAAUUGGAGAGUUGAAGAUCUACAUACUAGUAUAUGUAGAUGACAUCAUAGUAACUGGUAACUCAUCACAAGUCAUAAAUGAGUGCAUUGAGAUGAUUUGCAAAAAGUUCUCAUGUAAAGAUUUAGGAAGUCUAAAUUUCUUUUUAGGGAUGGAGUGUAUAAGAGAAGGGAGUACUCUUAUUCUAAACCAAGAGAAAUAUACAUUAGAAAUACUCAAAAAGUUUGGAAUGACAGAAAGUAAGCCUUGUAAGACACCAUUGACAUCAACACCUAAACUAACAAAAGAAACGGGAACACCUAUAGAGGAUCUAAAAGUUUAUAGAAGUAUAAUGGGAUCACUGCAAUAUCUUACUCUAACAAGGCCAGAUAUUGCAUUUCAUGUAAACCACUUGAGUCGUUUUUACAAAUACCUACUGAGAUACACUUACAGGCUGCUAAAAGGGUACUGAGAUAUGUCAAGGGAAGUAUCAACUUAGGACUUAGGUUUAAUUUCUCAGAUAGGUCAGAAAACACACUUAUAGCAUACUGUGACUCAGAUUGGGGAAACAAUCCUGAUGAAAGGAUUUCCAUAUCUGGAUCUAGCAUAUGGUUUGGAAAUAAUGUGAUAGCCUGGUCAGCUAAGAAACAAUCAACAGUAGCAAAAUCAAGUUGUGAGGCUGAAUAUAGGGCAUUAACAGGAGUAAUAUCAGAAAUAAAGUGGUUUUGCUAUCUAUUUAGAGAAUUAGGGAUAAAACUAGAUUCUUCACCACUAGUGCUAUGUGAUAACAAAUCUGCCAUAUUUUUGGCAAAAAAUCCAAGUUCAAGUGGAAGAACAAGACACAUGGACAUCUCUCUACAUUUCAUUAGAGAACUAGUAAACAAAGGAGCAAUAAGGAUAGAGUAUAUUCCAUCCAACCAGCAACUUGCGGAUAGAUUCACAAAGAUACUAGGAACUGAAGAUUUUAGAAGGCAUAAGGACAAACACAAACUAAGUCCUAAUAAGAAAAAAGUAGACAUAAGAAAUGAUGAAAAUGCAUCUUCAGUAGAGGAUCAAAUGACAAAAACUAGAUAGUAAAGAGACUUAGAACCAAAUAAUAAUAAUAAUAAAAUAAUAAAUCAGGACUGAUGUUAUUAUAUUUGAUAAUGUUAUAUAUCUACUAAUGAUAUUGGUUAAAUAUUUGAUGUUAUUAUUAUUAUUGUAGCUAUGAGUGGUAUGUAGUGCUUGAAUGUGUACAGGAAUCAGGACUGCAAAGGAAGUUAAAGGGAGUUGGUCUCUGCCUGGAUGACAUCUAUAAUAUGUAUAAAUACAGGAUCUAUAUAAGAAUUGGUGAACAGAGAAAGGACUAAACAAAGGAUCUAUAUAUGUCGUUAAGAUGAAGGGCCUCGCCAAGGACAAAGGAGCAGGAAAAGAUGCUGAUCAUGUUUCUGAAAUUUUGAUCAAUAUCAUAAUUGAUUCAAUUAUGAUAUUGAGGGGGAAUGUAAAGAUAGUAUUAAAUAUCAUACCAUAAGUGUAAAUUCACCCAUAAUGGUAUAGUAAUAAUAUUAGUUAGUAAAUGGACUAAUAGAUAAAUAACCUAGUAAGGUUUAUAAAUAGUAUAAACUAAUACUAAUGAAUCAGUUUUUGAAGAUUGUGUUUUGUAUACUUGAUAUUUUUCCAGAUUGAAAUUAGGGCUUCUUGUGCUCAUUCCUCUUUCUUCACAAUCUGGAUACAAAGUUGAUUCCACUAUCUUUGGGCAGUUAGAUCUCUAACUGUAUCUUCCCCAUUGUGUUUCUUUUUCUCUUUUCUUUCUCUAUCCAACUUCUUCUAUAUAUUUAGUCUGAUGUUUCUGAAUAUACAUCAGUUUUUCUUCUUUACAUCGAUGAUCCUCAGCUUUGUUGGAAUGAAUUGAAGAUGAAUUGAGUGGUGAAUCUGUGAUUCAACUGGUGUGUUGCGGAAGCGUUUGAAGACUGUGAAAGUUGAAGAUCGUAGUAAUCAAACAGUGAAUGUAAUUGUGAUUACAGAGUGUGUGAUUGUGUAUUUGUGGAUGAAGUCUAGGUGCGUUUAUAUAGAAAAAUACCUAGCGGCUAUGUUGGUUGGGUGUGUUUAAUUAUAGUAAUUAAUGAUUAUGGGAAUAUGGAAUAAUAUGAUAUAUGGAAAUAUAAAUAAUGGAAUAUGAAGAGUUAUGAUUAAAUAAAAGGGGGUGAGUGUAAAAUUUAUUAUAAUGUUAUAUUUGUGAUAUUAUUUAACGUAGGGGUGUAUCUCUAAUAUCCUCCCUCAAAUCAAAACCGGUUAGGGUUUGAUUUGAAUAUGUGGGUGCAAUGGGGUGUUUGAGUGAAUUAAUUGGGUUUAAAUUUUGGGUGUGUAUAUCGAUGAGAUUUAAUUUUUGGAUUAAAUGUUUGAAUGCUGGGCCACCUAAGGGUUUAGUGAAAAAAUCACCAAUGUUUUGUGCACUGGAGACGUGUCUUAGUGUAAUAUCUCCCGCUAAAACUUUGUCCCUUACCGUGUGGAGAUCGAUUUCUAUGUGCUUUGUUCGUUGGUGUGAGAUAGGGUUUCGAGCAAUCGCCUCUACUGUUGUGCUAUCGGUGAAGAUACGAGGAGCCGGUGAUCGUCGUAUUUGGUAUACUCCUAUCUCUUGCAAUAGCAUUGCCAACCAAGUUAUUUCACAUGUAGUAUAGGCUAAUGCUCUAUAUUCGGCUUCAACAGUUGAUCUUGAUAUGGUCUAUUGUUUUUUUGAUUUUCAAGAUACUAGUGAAGUACCAAGGAAGAUGGCAAACCCCGAUGUUGAUCGCCUAGUGGUCGGGCAACUUGCCCAAUCUGAGUCAGAGAAGGCAGAGAUAUGGUCCAUUGAGGAUCCUGUGAAAUGUAACCCCACACCAGGUGAAUCUUUUAUAUAUUUUAAUAUUCUGUAGGCUGCUUUCAUGUGAAUGUCUGUGGGUGUGCAUGUGCUGACUUAAAUAAGUCACUGCAUAUGAUAUGUCUGACCUUGUGCAAGUUAAAUAAACUAACUUGCCAAUUAUGCUUUUGUAUUUUUGUGGGUCCUCUAAUGGAACUCCAUUUUCCUAUGUUUUGUUUGAUUGCAUUGGUGUUUUAUUAGUGUGAUUAUUUGGUUGUAUUGGAUUAAUGUUAAUAUAUUUUUUUGUUUUAUAGUUGGAUAUUUUGUUUUGACUGUUUGGUGUAUUGUUUGGUUUACAUUGAGUUAAGUCAUAUUUUUCUAAUAGGUCUAAGGUGUAUUUUCUUUGCCCAAUAUAUAAGUCAUUGGGUGUUUUGGUGAAUUCAAGGCCUAGGAAGUAUUUGAGUUCUCCAAGGUCUUUUAUUUUGAAAAUUUUCUUUAAAUUUUCUUUUAAGGAAUUUAUUUUGUUUAUGUUGUUUCCUGUUAUCAACAAAUCAUCAACAUAUGCUAAUACUAUUGUGGUAUCUUUAUCAUCAAUGUUUAUAAACAGUGAGUAGUCUGUUUUACAUUGCUUAUAUCCAAAAUUGGAUAAAGCUUUUGAUAGGGUUUGAUACCACACUCUAGAUGCCUGUUUCAGGCCAUAUAGUGACCUAUUCAAUUUACAAACUGAAUUAGUGGUGAAUUUUUUGGUAUUUCUAAACCCGAAGGUAUUUUCAUAUAUAUAGUCUCUUCUAAGGUCCUAUAUAGAAAUGCAUUUUGCACAUCCAUUUGAUGCAUGUGCCAUUUCUUGGAUACUCAUAAUGCCAAGAUGACCCUUAGUGUUGUCAUCUUAGAGACAGGGGCAAAGGUUUCUGUGAAAUCUAUGCCUUCAAUUUGAUUGUAACCUUUGGCUACUAGCCUUGCUUUAUGUUUCUCAACAGUUCCAUCACUGAUGAAUUUUGUAGACCCAUUUACAUCCAAUUAGUUUCUUGUCCUCAGGGAUGCUUGUAAUGGUCCAAGUUUUGUUAUUUUCAAGAGCCUCAAGCUCUUGUUUAUGGCGUUGUUCCAUUUGGCAUGUUUAGAUGCCUCUUUGUAGGAAUUUGGGUCAACAUUGAUCUUUAUUGCUGAGAGCAGAGCAUAAUGUUCUGAAGUAAAGUUUUGGCAUGAUAUUAAUUUUGCUAUUGGGUUUCUGGAUGAUGCCAGUUGUAGUUUAUAGUCCUUUAGAUAUGAGGGUAUUCUUCUAGUCCUUUUUGAUGUUCUGUUGGUUUCCUCAUUGUUUGUUGGUAUUGUUCUGUCAGUCAUUUCUUUUUCUUCCUCUGACUCAUAUUGUUCAGUAGGUUCCAUUGAAGGAGGAAUUUGGAAAAUUUGAGGGAUUGAUGUUAUCUCCUUCUCUUCUUCUGACUCAUAUUGAUCAAGUAGAGGAGUGGUGUUUAUUGUGUAUAUGUUUGUUCCUUCUGAUGAUUCUUGAUUGAAGAAAUCUUUCUCAUGUUGUUUUGGUUCUUCUUUGAAGGGAAAGAUCUCUUCAAAGAAUGUAACAUCCCUGUUUGUGAAAAUUUCUUGAGUAGAUGGGUUGAGCACUUUGUAACCCUUUCUUUGGAAUGAGUAUCCUAGAAAAAUUCCCUUGAUGGCUCUAUUUUCGAAUUUUGUCUUUGUUUUGUUGUUUGUGGCAUAGCAAAGACAUCCAAAUACUCUUAGAAUGGAGAGAUUUAGUUGUUCAUUGAAUAAUUUGUGGUAAAGAGUAUCAUUGUCCAAAACAAUAGCUGGGGUUCUGUUUAUUAGAAAAACAGCUAUUAGGAUGCAUUCUCCCCAAAAUCUUAGGGGAAUGUUGGAUUGAAUCAUGAGUGACCUAGCCACUUGUAGUAUAUGUUGGUGUUUUCUCUCAACUCUUCCAUUUUGUUGAGGAGUAUAGGGGCAUGAUAACUGAUGUGCUAUGCCAUUUAUUUUUAAAACAUUUUGAAAUUCUUUAGAUAGGAACUCUGUUCCAUUGUCUGUUCUUAUAGUCUGAAUGUUUGCUUGAUGUUGGUUUUUAACAUCCAAUAUCUAGAUGAAUUAGCUGAAAACACUUAGUAGUUUUGUUUGUGCUUAAGUUAAAGGAUAAUCUUGUCUGUUUUGACAAAGGACAUGUAUUACAAAAUUUUCAAAAACUUUUAGGGAUACAUUUGUUCAGUAAAUGUAAAUGAUAAAAUCUAGAAGGUGCAGGGUGUCCUAGUCUUUGGUGCCAGAUUUCUUCGUCCUUUGAUUCUUUUUGUUGGCUGUGGUUGGCCUGGGAUGAUUUCAGCUUCAGGAUGUACAAGCCAUCUUUCUUCUCACCACCACCAAUCUGGUUUCCCUGCUGAUCCUGUAUGGAACAGAAAAUAGGGUGGAAGGUGAAAAAGCAAUUUAUGUCUUUUCUUAAUUUGCUUACAGAUAGUAGGUUUACUGAGAAGGAUGGUAUUUUUAAGACAUUAUGUAGGGUGAUGUCUUUUGAUAGGGAUAUAGAACUGAUAGUACAAGGUCCGACACACAGACCAUAGUACUAAAAGACGUAUCCCAAAGUAUCUAAUACGCAGAGGAGGGGGGAGUACUGGUGAUACAGUAUCCCGAACACGGUCACAACCUACCAGCAACUAGAAGUCCGGAUAGCCUAAGAUGAGUUAAGGUAUCUAUUCUAGGGUUGGGGAGGUCCCAGGUCGAAUCUUAGGAAGAUCGACUUUCCUGAGGAUCGACUUCCCUGGGAUCGACU
rnacentral:lncRNA from 1 species